GUGCUUACUUUGGCAGCACAUAUACUAAGAUUGGAAUGAUACAGAGAAAUCAGCAUGGCCCCUGUGUAAGGAUGAUAUGCAAAUCCAUGAUGCCUUCCAUAUUUUU